AAAAACUAAUUAACAACCUAGUAGGUGAUUACUAGUUUGUCUAUUAGUACUAGGAUCAAGAAAAUUGAAACUAAAGAAACAAGAAAUGAAACUUAGAAAUUUGAAAUUUUGAGCCUAAGAGUUUUUUUUAGGGUGAUGACGUGGAAACCUCUUAUUGGACAUUAAAAUUAUUGAAAAUUUGAGAAAUUUUCUUGUCUUCAAAUUGUAUUGAUCAAAUUUCAAGUGGGGAAUGGUGGAAUAUCGGCUAUAGUAGGGUAACAACAAGACUUUGGAGCCCUUUUUUUCAAGUUAAAAAAAGUGUUUGACUUUUUUACACCUUUUUGGCUAAACACCUUUUUGAAAGACUUUUGACUCUUUCCCUUUUUGUAAGUCUUGGUGGUGAACUUUCUCCCUUUUGGCAAGACAAUUUUUGAAACCCUUUUGUCCCCUUUCUUCUUUGGAUGUCUUAGAGUUGUGUCUUUCAAUACUAAAAAUAAGACACACUCUCUUUCUUUAAUUUCUAUGAUCAAACAAUCAUUUUCUCUUUAACAAAAUAUGAAGAUGGUGAAGAACACCAAGAACACAACUUUUGAAUCUUGGAGUUCUAUGGUUCAAGUUGGAUCCUACACAUCAAUAACACAUUUUUCAAUCUACAAACCUCAACAAAAACAUCAACAAUAUGUUUUUAAGCCACAAUCUCAACAACAAACUUCAACAACACUCUUUCAAGCCACCAAUCCUCAAAAAACAACAACCUUCAAAGUUCAAAAAUAACUCAAAAAUGACUCAAAAUUUAGAUCUAGACUCUAUAAGUGUUAGUGAAGAAGGGACUAACACUAAAAACAACAAAACACACUAAAAAUACAAGAAAAAUAUGCUUCAAAUCGGCCUAAACACAAAAAACGUGGACAAAUUACGAUUUUUGAGUUUUUCAGUUUUUCAGCACCCUUUUUUUGUGAUUUUUCAAGUGAGCUAUCCUAAGAUUUGAUCUUUUAGGAACAAGAUCAAGCUAUGCUCUGAUAUCAAAUGGUAUCUACAACACAAAAAUAGUCUUCAAACAACCCAUAAUCAUAAGCCUUUACCCUCAACAACAAGACAACAACACGAUACGAGAAGCAAACAUAAACUUAAAAAGAGUAAAAGAUAGCUAACUUGACACAAAGAGAACCCAUUAGGUAGCAACUUAAGAGUGUAUCAAAAAUCUAAAACCUCUACAAAACAAGUUAACAAGUACCAAGUUCUUAUGGUGACCGCCAAGGUAAUCAACUCACCUCAAGAUCCACCCUUUCCAAGCAAAGAACAAUAUUAUCUUUUCUAAGACCUACACUAAUGGCUUAUCCAAGCCCUAAACUAAGGGUGUUACACUCUCAAAGAGAGAAUAAGUCUUUCACAUAUUUAUCCUUCCAAAACUAAAGAGCAAAUGACUUAAUAGAAGACUAUAUAGAGGCUAGCUUAUUACAUAACAGAAAUGACCACAAUACCCUUAAUGAAAGGGGUAGCCAUGAAGUAUCUUUCUAACAAAGUGUGAUCCCCAAAAUACCCUUAAUGAAGGGUUCUUCAAUGCUCCACAACCGUGGGGUCAUUCUUCAACACUUGUAGUCUUGGGUUGGCAUCAAAUGUAAGCCCCUACGUAAUCUUCCACACACGAUUUUGCCUUAUGUCAUGCUCAAAACGGGUCCUCCAUGCAUGUUCUUAUUUCAUCGAGGUGAACAAGUCUUGAGUCUUUAUGCGUUGGCAUCCAAUGAUGUCUUCAAAAGCAUAGAUGGUCAUUUGGCUCAUAUCACUUAUGCCAAAGAUAAACCUAUGGUGGUAACGUUGGUAUGGGGCAUGUGACUUCGAACUCAUACCCAACUCAGUACUAAAUAAUCCAUCCCAAAACAUAAUAGCUUCUCAUAUUAUACUAGUUAAAAUACAUUAUACAAUUAUAUUAAUCUCUACAAUACCAUAUAAAGAAAUUAUUUUUCUCGCAAGACUUGGCUCUAAAUUAUUUUAACUUGCAUUCUUUUUUCAAGAAACCAUAACUUUACACUAUUCAAGUCAAGGUAUGACAUACAUAUAUAUAUAUAUAUAUGUAUGUCUCUAUAUGUAUAUAUACAGACACACACAUAGGGCUUUUCGAAGAUUGUUCAUAAAUUGCUUACCUUUGAGUAUACUUAAUAACAAAACCACAGUUAAACCCAAUGGGAACAUGAAAGCAAUUUUUAAAACAAACCCCAAGUCAUAAACUUCAUGUGAAACUAACCUUUGGCUAAGAAAAUUAACUAUACAUUCAAGAAUUACUUUAAUUUGGAAAAUAAUUCAUAAUACUUAAAGCAUAUAAAAGAAAAUAAUAACAAAACUCAAGAACGAUACAUAGAAUAUUUAAAUCUUCAAAACCCUAACUUGAAAUCAUGAAUUAGAAUGGAACUAUGACACACCUGUGAGGUUGAACAGGGUCUCCCAUGAAUGUUAUUUUUCUUGCGUACCUUACAGAUGAACAAAGUGAAAGAAAUCUUAGGAUUUCAAGCCCUAGCUUUAUUUCUCUUACAACUUGAAGGUUAGGAGCUUGAGGGAAUGGGAGAGGGUUUUGAUUUGAAAGUGUGAGGGUUUUUGAAAUUUUGAGGCAUGUUUAAUAUUGGAUGGACAAUAUCUAAAAUUGAGAAGACAAUCAUAUCCCUAAAACAAAAUGAAAUUGAAGAAGUUAAAAUUCGAGGAAGGGGGUCCAUGGCACGGUGUCCAAUGCACCACCCCAUAUUGUGCAACGCGCCUCCCUAAGUGGAAGGCUUUCAGUGGCUCCUUCUUCCAUGAUAUUCGGUGAGAAACUCAAAGUAGAUUCCUUGAUCCAUGGCGCACUGGCCUAUUUCUACAUAUUAAACUCUCUUUUUAAGUGUCGGAAUAUAUCCUAAAUGAUUUGGCCUAUUUCAAGGGACUCAAGACUUGACUUUUAACGCGUAAAAUUGUCUAUAAAAUACUAGGAUCAUGGAAUUUUUUUUUGGGCAUUACAUACCAAUAGGUGCGACACCACAAAACUUUAAAACUAUGCCAUAGUCAUAAUUUCUCAUAAAUAUUUCAACAAACUAACCAAGAAGUAGUAUAAUAUGAUGUAAUAAUAUAGUGAAAAUGAAUGCAGAAUACACAAUAUCACAAAUAAGGUUCAAUUAUAGUAAUUCAAUGAAAAGGCAAAUACUCAAAUACAAUGUCAAACCAAACUAAGGAAUACAAUGCAAUGCAAUACAAGUGAUGUAAUUCAAUAUAGAAAUGAUGGUGGGAUAUUUCAAACACAUCUUCCAAGCCUCAACGCUUUAGGACUGAUCCAUUGAGGUUCACAACCCAUAUGUUUUCACAAUCUCAAUUUCAUAUCCCAGUUACCAUGCCGACAAACCCCUCAAUUAAGAAUUUUGUAAAGUAUUUCAUUUUCUUUUAAAAUCAAUUAUUCUUAUAGGUCAAUCACUUUACCGGCACAUUCCUUGGUUAAGGUUUUUAUUAAGUGUUUCAUUUACUUUCAAAAUCAGUGAUUCUCAGUGGUACCAAAUCUCAUGAAUGUGUAUGGAUGAAAGCAAAGGAAAAAAAAAAAGAAUGACAAAUUUACCUCAGUCUCUCUCAUUUGGCAUCUGGUGGCAGAGGUCUCGGUGAAGGUCCUUCAUUGGCGGAGGAGGAGGAGGCGGAACAUUAGCUUUUGGUGCCAAAAUAUUGGUUAAUAAAGAUCACAAAAUGUUAUUGGCUGAACAACUUGUGCUUGACCUAAGAAAUAAUAACGACCCUUCCGAUUGUUUGUGAAUUUUUCUCAUCUUCCUUAUUUUAAUGUUCUCCGUAGUUUGUAUACAUGAUUUGUGACUUACGGUGGUGAGUAGUAUAGAUAUUUUUAGAUAUUCGAAAGUAAUUUAAGUCAUUAAUGGGGUUAUUGGGUUUGAUAAAGUUAAACCCGAUAAUAGUCAACCGUCAAUCAAGACGGCCUCGAAUUAGUGUCGUAGUAGUUCCAAUAGGCCCGGAAUGUAUUUUCUAGACAAUUUACAUAUUUAGUUUAUUUUGAUGGGGUUCCAAAUAAAUUUUGAGAAUAUAUUAAAAGUUUUAAUUAUUUUAAAUAAUUAAAUUAAUUAAGAAUAGUGGGUCAAAAGUACAAUUCUUUCUUCUCACAUAACCCACAUUAAGGUAGAGUAAUUGAAGUCAGUAGGUUAGUAGAAGUUCAACAAAAGGGCGGCUGACGAUUUGAACUUGGGGGAGACGAAAUUUACUGCUUCAGUUGCAGGGUGCAUUUGUAUUUUCUAAGAUUGAUUUGAAGUCUAGGUAUCAACGGCUUAAGAUUCGUCCUGGCGAUAUUCCUAAAACUGCUCUUCGACCCAGGGCGAUGGGGGUACACAUGGGCUCGGCUAGGUAUUUCAUUGCUCGUAAGUUGAGGACUAAGGAGAUUGCGUCUGUGAAGGUCCAUUGGAAGAAUAUGAGGCCACUUGGGAGACCAAAGCAGACAUGCGUAGCAAAUAUCCACAUCUUUUUGCUGAUUUAGAUUUGAAUCAUUCGGAAGCUUUAUGGAAGGGCAAGGUCCUUGCAAAUUAACUUGCAUUUGGAUUCUUCGGUUAAGUAAGUGUUAUAGAGGCUCAGACAUGACCUCAUUCCUAGAGUUUGAUACAGAUCUUGAUCCAAGGAAGAGGAAGCUUUUCCAAGAUUUGGCCCUUUUGAUGUGGAACUCAAUUGGUAUUAUCGCUGCACCCUUACAGCAAAGCUUUCAAGGGAACAUCUUAAUGAGCUUUUUAUUGGUGUUACUGAGGAAUUCAAAUGGUCCUAGGAUGACAAAAUAUUUUUGUGUAAUUUCUUGUUGGGGAGGGAGUGGGAACUAGUCCCACGUAGUAGUUUGUAUUCAGCUCAUAGCAAGGUUUAAUUUCCAAUAUUGGGACGUAGACAAUGUGUAACAUUUUAAUUGUAUAAGUUGGAUUUCUUUAUUAUUGGAUAGAACCAAAGUGGAAUAAAAUGAUUGGGGGUGAAA